rnacentral:tRNA from 1 species
GUUUUAAUAAUUUAAUAUAAAAUAUUGGUCUUGUAAACCAGAAAUAAGGUAAUCUUUUAAAACU